rnacentral:rRNA from 1 species
AUACGAAGGGGGCUAGCGUUGUUCGGAAUUACUGGGCGUAAAGCGCGCGUAGGCGGAUUGGUCAGUUAGGGGUGAAAUCCCAGGGCUUAACCCUGGAACUGCCUCUAAUACUGCCAGUCUUGAGUUCGGGAGAGGUGAGUGGAAUUCCUAGUGUAGAGGUGAAAUUCGUAGAUAUUAGGAAGAACACCAGUGGCGAAGGCGGCUCACUGGUCCGAUACUGACGCUGAGGCGCGAAAGCGUGGGGAGCAAACAGGAUUAGAAACCCUAGUAGUCC